CCUACGGGAGGCAGCAGUGAGGAAUAUUGGUCAAUGGACGAGAGUCUGAACCAGCCAAGUAGCGUGAAGGAUGACUGCCCUAUGGGUUGUAAACUUCUUUUAUAGGGGAAUAAAAUGUUCCACGUGUGGGAUUUUGUAUGUACCAUAUGAAUAAGGAUCGGCUAACUCCGUGCCAGCAGCCGCGGUAAUACGGAGGAUCCGAGCGUUAUCCGGAUUUAUUGGGGUUAAAGGGAGCGUAGGUGGAUUGUUAAGUAAGUGGGGAAAGUUUGCGGCUCAACCGUAAAAUUGCAGUUGAAACGGGCCGUCUUUAGUACAGUAGCGGUGGGCGGACUUCGUGGUGUAGCGGUG
rnacentral:rRNA from 1 species